rnacentral:tRNA from 1 species
GCCGAGGUGGCGGAAUAGGUAGACGCGCCAGCUUGAGGGGCUGGUCUCCGUUGAGGAGGUAGGGGUUCAAGUCCCCUCCUCGGCA